ACAAAAAAUGAUAAGCAGCAGCCACACAUACCAUGGAGUGAAAACGGGGGAAAAAGAUCUAAGGGGAAGAGCCAUGGCAGCGCUGGGUUGUGAGUGGUGCGCUGAUUAGGGUGGCAGAGCUACAGAGAGAGAGUGAUGAGAGAGAAAAAAAGGAGUGAGAGAAACAAAGGGAGAGAGAGAAUCCAAGAGAAGAAUCGUGAGAGAGUGCCAGUGGCUUACCGUGAGGGGGGAUAGGCAGCGUGCAGAGGAACUAGGGCUAGGUGGCAGUCGUGGGUGAUUGACGUUGUGAAGGGCUGGCAACGUCGCUAGACUUCGGUUGUGCAACGGGCAGAGAGCAGAUAAAUGUGCUCUGUUUUAUUGCUUAAAAAUAGGGGUCUUCGGUGGUUGAUUUCUUGCCAUGCAAGCCGUGUGCUUAGCGUUUCACAUGGCAAAAUCGGGGUGGUGAUAGUUUACGGUGGAGGGAGAGGAGAGGGGCAGCGGGUUGGUGGCUCACAAUUUGGAUGGGUGCCGAUGAAGAUGGUUGUUGUUUGAACAAGGGGCUUAAGUCUAUGUCGUGGUUGCUGCCAUGGUUGAGGUUGGCUCGCGGGAUUUGUUUCUACAAAUGGAAGGUUGCCGUGCAUAUGGAGAAAGGCUAGCUGAGAGGUGCCUGACGGCACUUUCUGUGCAAGCGGCGAUGUCGUGGAGGAAGCUGGCUCCGUGGUGACUGUGUGCAUGGUUUGGCUUACGGUGGUGAAGCAGGUUCUUAUAGAUCAUGGUGACAGACUAGUGGUUUGCAGCGAAUGGAAGAGACUCUGAGAGAGAGAAGACCGAGAGCAUGAGAGAGAUGGAUAGAAAAAAAUGAUGUAGUUGAUGGACGGGGAAGGAAAUAAUGAAGAGAACAUAAAAAACAAAAGAGAUUCAAACUGCCAAGACGUGAGAUGGUGGAGAUUUGGGUGGAGUGAUUUUCGGAAUGUGCAGAAACGGAAAGUGAAAACCCUCGGAAAGAAAAAAUGCAAAAGGGAAGAUGAAGCUCACCUCAAACAACGUCGUGGGGUAGGGGACGUUACCCAGUUUCAAGUGAAAAGAGGGGAAAAUUUAUCAGGGCUGGGGGAAGCAGGAGGGGAAAAAAAAAAAAAGAAUCUAAUAGGCUAGUUGUUACAUGGUGAGUCUUGGUACUUGCUACUCCUCAUCCAUUGUUAUUUUUUCCUAGCAGUUGCAGUCUAGAACUCGUGAGAUUGAACAACUUAACGAGAAGAUUUAUGUACUCCAACGGCUUGUUCAAAAAUCUUACGUAAGGGAAUGGACCCUUUUGCAGGGAAACAAAAGGUCUUGUGAAAAUUUCAACCUGCUGCUCAUACUUGCUUGUGAACUUAAAAGCCUCAAAUCUAAUCAAAAUCAUUUAUAACUAGUUUGUCUCUUAACAAAGUUCUUGUGAAAAUUUCAACUUACUGCUAAUACUUGUUUGUGAACUUAAAACCUCAAACCUAAUCAAAAUCAUUUCUAAAGUAUUUAGGAUCUCUAAACCUCGAAUUUCAGAAAAACUCAAACCAUAAAGUUUGCAGGAUCUCAACUUUGUUUCUCUCUGAUACUAAUUGUAACACCCCGCUCUUCGAAGGGUCAGGAUGUUACUCCCUAUCACUCAUAUUUUGUUCUAAUACCAACUAUAACACCCCACUCCCAAGGGGGAUCGGAGGGUUACUGCCUAACACUUGUAUUUUCUUUGAUAUUAACUGUAAUGCCCCAGUCUCGGAGGGGGUUGGAAGGUUACUUUCUUAAACCUAAAACUCACAUUCCAACAAUAUAAUUACAAACUCCAAAUACAUAAUCAUCAAAACACUACCUACAAAAUUUCUUAAUAACAUUCACCAAACCCAUUGGAACCUUCUAUGUUUAAUCUAUUAAACUUAAAUAAUCAUCUCAAUCAUGCUCCAUAAUCUUGAUCUAUACUUGAAAUAUUCAAAACCAUCUGAAAAAUAUUAUUAAGAUAAGAGGUGAGUUAAAAAAAUUUAGAAAGAAUAAAAUAUAUAUUAGCAUGUAAACAUAAGUAAUUACAAAGAUCAGAUGCAGAACAGAACAAUUUCAUUUUCAGAAUGCAGAAGUAGAACAUGUUAUCAAAAUUUUAGAGUGAAUGUUUAGAAAUAUUUUGAUUCAAAAGUACUUUGGCAUAGCAUAACUGAUCAUUAUCAUCAUCAUAUCAUAACGGAGGCUAUGUAUAACCCCAGGUAGGGUUGUACAUCUGUGGAUAGCCAAGCAAAACAUAAAUUACUUUGUCACCAAACGUGUGCAUUUAAAUAGAGACCACUAUUAUAACUCGUGACAGGGCCGUAUACCACUACUGUAACCUGUGGUAGGGCCGCAUGCCACUAUUAUUACCUGUGCAUGACCGUAUGCCACUAUUAUUACCUGUGACAGAGUUGUAUACCACUAUUAUCACCUGAAGCAUGGUCAUAAUUGAACCAAACAGAAACAAAAUCAGAUACAAAACUAAGUCUUGAGACUUAAGGAGAAAAGAUUUAUGAAACCAAGCCUUGAAACUUGGAAGCAAGUCCAACUCAACAUGAAGCCUUCGGGAAAAUCAACCAACAUCAAAAGUAUCAAAUCCAAAAUAAGAUCAAGCCCACCAUUGAAAAUAAACCCAUCCAAAGCCAAUAGUAUUAGUUUUGCCAUGAAUUGCCUAAGGGCAUAACCGUACUUCUAUACACACUAGUAUGUAACCCUAGAAGCAACUCAAGGUAACAAAAAAAUUUUAGAACCAAAAUGUUAGAGCGGCGGCAGUCAUACCCAAAGCAUCAGAGGUCACCGAGGAAGGAGAGGAAAAAAUGUGGCGGCUGGAAGCUGGCUACGGCGACUUCGGCAGUGGCACUAGCUCCGUGGUGAAGCGACUGAACACCGUGAGAGGGAGAGUGAGGGCCGGCCAUAUGCUCACCGAGAGGGAGUGGAACCGUGCGUACGGGCUAGUCUUGUUGGUUAAUAUUAAGGCACCUCACUCAGCUGCAACACCACAAGGAGCUGCUCCUCACUCUGUACACGACUCUCCCACUCACUUGACAGAAACAGAGCAACGCACUACAGCAGACAUGCACAGCACACUCAAGGCACUACAAAGAGAAUAUUCUGCAAUACUCUAGAAUGUAGGCAAUAACAGAAUGUACUACCCAAGGGACACCUGUCACAAUAUGAGAGGAAAAAGAAUCAAUUUUGUUAUUUUGUAUUCUCUAUAAAUAGUCUAAUGUAACAGAUGAUUUGAGCAAUACAGAAGAAUGAGUAUUCGAAGGGAUUCCUGAGUC